UGAGAGAGCUGCUGAACUUCCAACAUCAUGUUCCUCUUUCCACUUUCAUUCAUUUCUGCACUUGUUGGUGUCAGUUCUGAACAGGUAUUAACACCCUACACUGAUGUAAAGUGUCUUCAGAAAGGGACAGUUUCUCUCACUUAUAACUACACCUCUUCUGAUAACAUUCUUCUAUGAUAUCGACAAUAUCCCAAAUCAGCACCACAGUUACUGGUUACUGGUUAAGGAGUAUGAAGAUAUUACACCAGGGUUCACUCUAAAUCAUGACAAAAAAGCCAAACGUGUGGAUCUGGAGAUCUCCUCUGCUGAAGUGACAGACUCUGCUCUCUACUACUGUGCCCUGAUGGCCAAUGUGACAAGAAACCCAGAAACACUGCACAAAAACCUUCUUAUGUGAUUCAUACAAUAGCGGAGGGAAACUAUUCCCCCACCCGCCCACCCACCCCCCAUUCUCCCCAGUGGAGGGAACGAGAGAUGCAGUAUCACUGAAGAGAGGACAAAUGAGAGGAGAGGGGAGAUUGAGCAUUUUUAGAGCAACUGUACUUUGGGGUGGAGCUUGUAGCGAAACUAAGCAGGAACGAUCAACAGAAAACAUUUGCAGAUUCAUUUUGUUUGGAGUUUUCAGGUUCUGUUGUGCUAUUAGUCUGUUUACUUCCAACCAUAGCCAUGUUGUUCAUCUGGUCAAUUAUUACAUUCUCAGUAAUAGGUGGCAGUUAUGAGCAGACUAUAGAGCCAAACCAACAUGAAGUGUAUGCAGAAGUGGGUAGUAAUGUUCUUCUUUCCUGCAACUACUCCUCAGCAGACAGUCUACUAUGGUAUAAACAGUCUCCAGGAUCAGCUCCCCAAUACCUUCUGCUCAUCCAGCACUACACUGGGACUGAACAUAGAGCUGAUUCUCUUGAAUCUCGCUUCUCUGGUAAACUGAACAAAGAGAAGACCCGUCGUGUGGAUCUGGAGAUCUCCUCUGCUGAAGUGACAGACACUGCUCUGUACUACUGUGCUCUGAGGCCCACAGUGACAGGAGACCUGCCAACACCGUUCAAAAACUGCUAUCUAUUCAAGAGGAGGAGCUAAACUAAGCAGACCACAUGGGGAUAUCAUUUAGUCUGUCACAGAGGAGUGGUACGUCAGUGUUACUGAGAGAGCUGCUGAACUUCAACCAUCAUGUUCCUCUAUCCACUUUUAUUCAUUUCUGCACUUGUUGGGUGCAGAGCAGAAGAGAAUGUAAGACAGCCAAAAGAAGAUGUAAUGGUCGUAGAAGGACACCCAACAACACUCACUUGUCUAUUUGAUACAACUUCUCCAUCACCAUAUCUCUUCUGGUACAAACUAGCAAAUGAUAAGCC